rnacentral:misc_RNA from 1 species
AGAGCGCACCUGAUCGUCUACGAGGCUUAUGCGGAUGAACGUUGGCAGUGGUACACGAGAUGGUGCUAUGGAUGUCGAAGGUUUCGGUUAUUUGAUGGCAACGAGCGAGCACUCGCAAAGCUGUUCGACGAGGUGGAAAGCGAUACGGCCGAUAGUACGCGUCGUAUGGUGGUAGUCCGUGGCGCUGGGCGUUUUCUAGUACGCAACUGCGGCACUCCUGCAACUUCGACGAGUCCGUGCAACGAGUGCAGGAAUCGGAUCCCUAGAGUGCUUAUCGAUACGUCCAGAAGGAUGGAUAUGCACCAUGAGCGCGGGUGCACGCUGAAACUGGUAAAGGAGAAGAAGCGUGUGAAACAGAGACCGCCGGAUGAGAGGGUGCGCUGUAGCUUGAUCGACCGUCAUUCGAAGAAGCAGCCGACUUUGAGACACUUCCUAUGGUGCGAUGCUACCGGCGACAAUACAAGCAAGCGCUUUCUUCGCCGAAUCGUGAGCGCCUUGAUCAGUAGGCGGGACAGCGUUGUGCCUCUGGAGCGUCCACCAAGUUUAUGUUUAGCGUGAUUUAGAGAGCAUUUUUUGGUACUCGGUGUAAGCAUUGUACUGAAGCGCUGAAGACGCACGAUGCAACAAAACCAGUGGCCAAGACAGAGAAGAUUGCGAACUCGCACGGAGCGAGGCACUGGUGCGGUACGUUUCAGAUGGCCAGCGAGACUAGAACCCAGUAUGUGUCCAUCGAAAAUGAUUUUCUCGGGCAGAUUUCAUCGACGAUCAUCACGUUCCAUGAUUCAUUCGUACAAGAUAUACAAGAGAAACCUAUCCGGUAUCCGAAUCGCCACGGAAGUUCCUCGACGCAAGUGUCCAGCGCUUUACAGCGCCAGGUGACCAACACUGUGAUCGAGUGUCGCAUGCAGUUGCGCAACUCGUUCCGCAGAGACGUGUUGGCGUAACCACUCCAGAAACACGCCAUCAUCAUGACGCUCUGCUCGCCAGUCAUGAAUCCAGGCGUCUGUUAGCGCCAGAGCAACCGCUAAGCGCGGCUUUUCGCUUGCCCAGUGCUGUGCCGCUGCCUCCACAUGCGGCCUGACUUGUUGCCAUGAAGCACGCGUCAAGUAGACGAGGCAACACGCCAAACCAAUCCAUAGAGGCCAAAGCGGCUUGUUCACUGACUUGUCGUCCGAAAGCGUAUGCGUCCAGCCUGGAGCCGCUAGGGGUGACGGCUCCUCGGGCGUGCACGCCUCGAAGACAGACGCUCUGUCAGGCGGAGCGACGUGUGCCCAUGCGGGCGCUAGUCGCUCACCGACUCGCAACGAAUUCGAUUUGGAUUCGAACACCAGCUGUCCCAGUUCACAGAAAAACUUCUGCAGUGAAGCAGACCAACUGAAUGGCGCGUUGCUCUGCGGCUCGACCUCGGCACAAAGAAGGUCCGCUUCUAGGAGCUCGAUCGCGCUUAGCGUCGUUUCGCCUCGAGCAGCGUUCUGUGCUGCUGCAUUGGACGAUGUCAGCGUACUGGAUAACUCCAAAAUCGCUGCAACCCAGUGGGGUAAAAGGGAAAGCGCUUUCUCGGCUGGUGGACGCCACCGUUGCUGCCCCUGUGAUGCCGUUUUCGCUGCUGGAUGUGGCGCGCUGCCCACAGUACUAGUCGCAUCUGCGACUGAUUCCGGUCCCAUCUGGUAGAGGAACAGUGCUAAACUAGCGAGCAGCAACGCACGUAUUCGCAGCGGGGAUCUGAGGACAGCUCCACGCUGAGCAUCCGGGUAAAACGGUGCCGUAGGAUAC